CCUAACACAUGCAAGUCGAGCGAGGUAGCAAUACCUAGCGGCAGACGGGUGAGUAACAUGUGGGAAUCUGCCUUUUGGUUCGGAACAACACGGGGGAAAACCUGUGCUAAAUACCGGAUAAGUCCUAACGGAGAAAGUUUCAAUGCCAAAAGAUGAGCCCGCAUUUGAUUAGCUAGUUGGUAAGGUAAAAGCUUACCAAGGCGACAAUCAAUAGCUGAUUUGAGAGGAUGAUCAGCCACACUGGGACUGAGAUACGGCCCAGACUCC
rnacentral:rRNA from 1 species